ACUACGGGGUGCUGCAGUGGGGAAUAUUGCACAAUGGGGGAAACCCUGAUGCAGCGACGCCGCGUGAGUGAAGAAGUAUUUCGGUAUGUAAAGCUCUAUCAGCAGAGAAGAAAAUGACGGUACCUGAGUAAGAAGCCCUGGCUAACUACGUUCCAGCAGCCGCGGUCAUACGUAGGGGGCAAGCGUGAUCCGGAUUUACUGGGUGUAAAGGGAGCGUAGACGGCAGCACAAGUCUGGUGUGAAAUGCCGGGGCUUAACCCGGGAACUGCAUGAGAUACUGUGCAGCUAGAGUGCAGGAGAGGUAGGUGGAAUUCCUAGUGUAGCGGUGAAAUGCGUAGAUAUUAGGAGGAACACCAGUGGCGAAGGCGGCUUACUGGACUGUAACUGACGUUGAGGCUCGAAAGCGUGGGGAGCAAACAGGAUUAGAUACCCCUGUAGUC
rnacentral:rRNA from 1 species